rnacentral:piRNA from 1 species
UCCUACUUGUGACUUUUACUAAUAAAAUUAA